UACGUAGGUGGCAAGCGUUGUCCGGAUUUACUGGGCGUAAAGAGCGCGCAGGCGGUCGUUCAAGUCGCGUGUGAAAGCCCCCGGCUCAACUGGGGAGGGUCACGCGAUACUGAUCGACUCGAAGGCAGGAGAGGGUAGUGGAAUUCCCGGUGUAGUGGUGAAAUGCGUAGAUAUCGGGAGGAACACCAGUGGCGAAGGCGACUACCUGGCCUGUUUCUUGACGCUGAGGCGCGAAAGCUAGGGAGCAAACGGG
rnacentral:rRNA from 1 species